rnacentral:rRNA from 1 species
GACGAACGCUGGCGGCGUGCUUAACACAUGCAAGUCGAGCGGUAAGGCCCUUUCGGGGGUACACGAGCGGCGAACGGGUGAGUAACACGUGGGUGACCUGCCCUCAGCUCUGGGAUAAGCCUGGGAAACCGGGUCUAAUACUGGAUAUGACUCCAUGACGCAUGUUGGUGGGGUGGAAAGCCUUGUGCGGCUGAGGAUGGGCCCGCGGCCUAUCAGCUUGUUGGGUGGGGUGACGGCCUACCAAGGCGACGACGGGUAGCCGGCCUGAGAGGGCGACCGGCCACACUGGGACUGAGACACGGCCCAGACUCCUACGGGAGGCAGCA